UACGUAGGGUCCGAGCGUUGUCCGGAAUUAUUGGGCGUAAAGAGCUCGUAGGCGGUUUGUCGCGUCUGCUGUGAAAUCCCGAGGCUCAACCUCGGGUCUGCAGUGGGUACGGGCAGACUGGAGUGCGGUAGGGGAGAAUGGAAUUCCUGGUGUAGCGGUGGAAUGCGCAGAUAUCUGGAGGAAUACCGGUGGCGAAGGCGGCAUCCUGGACCGGCAUUGACGCUGAGUGAGCGAAAGCCAGGGAGCAAGCGGGAUUAAG
rnacentral:rRNA from 1 species